rnacentral:rRNA from 1 species
UACGUAGGCAGCAAGCGUUGUUCGGAAUUACUGGGCGUAAAGGGUGUGUAGGCGGUUGUUUUAAGUUUGGUGUGAAAUCUCCCGGCUCAACUGGGGAACUGCGCGGGGAAACUGCGGGGGCUUUGAGUUCGGGAGAGGGAAGCGGAAUUCCGGGGUGUAGCGGUGAAAUGCGUAGAUAGUCCGGAGGAACGACCGGUGGCGAAGGCGGCCCACUGGAUCGGUACUGACGCUGAGGUGCGAAAGCGUGGGGAGCAAACAGG